ACUAAGCGUACACGGUGGAUGCCCUGGCAGUCAGAGGCGAUGAAGGACGUGCUAAUCUGCGAUAAGCGUCGGUAAGGUGAUAUGAACCGUUAUAACCGGCGAUUUCCGAAUGGGGAAACCCAGUGUGWUUCGWCACACUAUCAUUAACUGAAUCCAUAGGUUAAUGAGGCGAACCGGGGGAACUGAAACAUCUAAGUACCCCGAGGAAAAGAAAUCAACCGAGAUUCCCCCAGUAGCGGCGAGCGAACGGGGAGCAGCCCAGAGCCUGAAUCAGUGUGUGUGUUAGUGGAAGCGUCUGGAAAGRCGYGCGAUACAGGGUGACAGCCCCGUACACAAAAAUGCACAUGCUGUGAGCUCGAUGAGUAGGGCGGGACACGUGGUAUCCUGUCUGAAUAUGGGGGGACCAUCCUCCAAGGCUAAAUACUCCUGACUGACCGAUAGUGAACCAGUACCGUGAGGGAAAGGCGAAAAGAACCCCGGCGAGGGGAGUGAAAAAGAACCUGAAACCGUGUACGUACAAGCAGUGGGAGCACAGAGCAAUCUGUGUGACUGCGUACCUUUUGUAUAAUGGGUCAGCGACUUAUAUUCUGUAGCAAGGUUAACCGAAUAGGGGAGCCGAAGGGAAACCGAGUCUUAACUGGGCGUUAAGUUGCAGGGUAUAGACCCGAAACCCGGUGAUCUAGCCAUGGGCAGGUUGAAGGUUGGGUAACACUAACUGGAGGACCGAACCGACUAAUGUUGAAAAAUUAGCGGAUGACUUGUGGCUGGGGGUGAAAGGCCAAUCAAACCGGGAGAUAGCUGGUUCUCCCCGAAAGCUAUUUAGGUAGCGCCUCGUGAAUUCAUCUCCGGGGGUAGAGCACUGUUUCGGCAAGGGGGUCAUCCCGACUUACCAACCCGAUGCAAACUGCGAAUACCGGAGAAUGUUAUCACGGGAGACACACGGCGGGUGCUAACGUCCGUCGUGAAGAGGGAAACAACCCAGACCGCCAGCUAAGGUCCCAAAGUCAUGGUUAAGUGGGAAACGAUGUGGGAAGGCCCAGACAGCCAGGAUGUUGGCUUAGAAGCAGCCAUCAUUUAAAGAAAGCGUAAUAGCUCACUGGUCGAGUCGGCCUGCGCGGAAGAUGUAACGGGGCUAAACCAUGCACCGAAGCUGCGGCAGCGACGCUKAUGCGUUGUUGGGUAGGGGAGCGUUCUGUAAGCCUGUGAAGGUGURCUGUGAGGYAUGCUGGAGGUAUCAGAAGUGCGAAUGCUGACAUAAGUAACGAUAAAGCGGGUGAAAAGCCCGCUCGCCGGAAGACCAAGGGUUCCUGUCCAACGUUAAUCGGGGCAGGGUGAGUCGACCCCUAAGGCGAGGCCGAAAGGCGUAGUCGAUGGGAAACAGGUUAAUAUUCCUGUACUUGGUGUUACUGCGAAGGGGGGACGGAGAAGGCUAUGUUGGCCGGGCGACGGUUGUCCCGGUUUAAGCGUGUAGGCUGGUUUUCCAGGCAAAUCCGGAAAAUCAAGGCUGAGGCGUGAUGACGAGGCACUACGGUGCUGAAGCAACAAAUGCCCUGCUUCCAGGAAAAGCCUCUAAGCAUCAGGUAACAUCAAAUCGUACCCCAAACCGACACAGGUGGUCAGGUAGAGAAUACCAAGGCGCUUGAGAGAACUCGGGUGAAGGAACUAGGCAAAAUGGUGCCGUAACUUCGGGAGAAGGCACGCUGAUAUGUAGGUGAAGUCCCUCGCGGAUGGAGCUGAAAUCAGUCGAAGAUACCAGCUGGCUGCAACUGUUUAUUAAAAACACAGCACUGUGCAAACACGAAAGUGGACGUAUACGGUGUGACGCCUGCCCGGUGCCGGAAGGUUAAUUGAUGGGGUUAGCGCAAGCGAAGCUCUUGAUCGAAGCCCCGGUAAACGGCGGCCGUAACUAUAACGGUCCUAAGGUAGCGAAAUUCCUUGUCGGGUAAGUUCCGACCUGCACGAAUGGCGUAAUGAUGGCCAGGCUGUCUCCACCCGAGACUCAGUGAAAUUGAACUCGCUGUGAAGAUGCAGUGUACCCGCGGCAAGACGGAAAGACCCCGUGAACCUUUACUAUAGCUUGACACUGAACAUUGAGCCUUGAUGUGUAGGAUAGGUGGGAGGCUUUGAAGUGUGGACGCCAGUCUGCAUGGAGCCGACCUUGAAAUACCACCCUUUAAUGUUUGAUGUUCUAACGUUGACCCGURAUCCGGGUUGCGGACAGUGUCUGGUGGGUAGUUUGACUGGGGCGGUCUCCUCCUAAAGAGUAACGGAGGAGCACGAAGGUUGGCUAAUCCUGGUCGGACAUCAGGAGGUUAGUGCAAUGGCAUAAGCCAGCUUGACUGCGAGCGUGACGGCGCGAGCAGGUGCGAAAGCAGGUCAUAGUGAUCCGGUGGUUCUGAAUGGAAGGGCCAUCGCUCAACGGAUAAAAGGUACUCCGGGGAUAACAGGCUGAUACCGCCCAAGAGUUCAUAUCGACGGCGGUGUUUGGCACCUCGAUGUCGGCUCAUCACAUCCUGGGGCUGAAGUAGGUCCCAAGGGUAUGGCUGUUCGCCAUUUAAAGUGGUACGCGAGCUGGGUUUAGAACGUCGUGAGACAGUUCGGUCCCUAUCUGCCGUGGGCGCUGGAGAACUGAGGGGGGCUGCUCCUAGUACGAGAGGACCGGAGUGGACGCAUCACUGGUGUUCGGGUUGUCAUGCCAAUGGCACUGCCCGGUAGCUAAAUGCGGAAGAGAUAAGUGCUGAAAGCAUCUAAGCACGAAACUUGCCCCGAGAUGAGUUCUCCCUGACUCCUUGAGAGUCCUGAAGGAACGUUGAAGACGACGACGUUGAUAGGCCGGGUGUGUAAGCGCAGCGAUGCGUUGAGCUAACCGGUACUAAUGAACCGUGAGGCUUAACC
rnacentral:rRNA from 1 species